GACGAACGCUGGCGGCGUGCUUAACACAUGCAAGUCGAACGGAAAGGCCCUGCUUUUGUGGGGUGCUCGAGUGGCGAACGGGUGAGUAACACGUGAGUAACCUGCCCUUGACUUUGGGAUAACUUCAGGAAACUGGGGCUAAUACCGGAUAGGAGCUCCUGCUGCAUGGUGGGGGUUGGAAAGUUUCGGCGGUUGGGGAUGGACUCGCGGCUUAUCAGCUUGUUGGUGGGGUAGUGGCUUACCAAGGCUUUGACGGGUAGCCGGCCUGAGAGGGUGACCGGCCACAUUGGGACUGAGAUACGGCCCAGACUCCUACGGGAGGCAGUAGUGGGGAAUAUUGCACAAUGGGCGGAAGCCUGAUGCAGCAACGCCGCGUGCGGGAUGACGGCCUUCGGGUUGUAAACCGCUUUCACCUGUGACGAAGCGUGAGUGACGGUAAUGGGUAAAGAAGCACCGGCUAACUACGUG
rnacentral:rRNA from 1 species